UAGGGAAUCUUGCACAAUGGGCGAAAGCCUGAUGCAGCGAUGCCGCGUGUGUGAAGAAGGCCUUCGGGUUGUAAAGCACUUUCAGUGGUGAAGAAAUCCCGCGCACUAAUACUGCGCGGUCUUGACGUUAACCACAGAAGAAGCACCGGCUAACUCCGUGCCAGCAGCCGCGGUAAUACGGAGGGUGCGAACGUUAAUCGGAAUUACUGGGCGUAAAGCGCGCGUAGGCGGUUUGUUAAGUGAGGCGUGAAAGCCCUGGGCUCAACCCAGGAAUCGCGUUUCAAACUGGCGAACUCGAGUUCAGUAGAGGGAGGUGGAAUUUUCCGUGUAGCGGUGAAAUGCGUAGAUAUGGGAAGGAACACCAGUGGCGAAGGCGGCCUCCUGGACUGAAACUGACGCUGAGGUGCGAAAGCGUGGGGAGCAAACAGG
rnacentral:rRNA from 1 species